UUUACAGCUCUCAUGUCCUACAUGUGAAUUCCCUAACAGGAUCUAGUUGGCCACUUUGGAGAGUAGUAUGCUGAAGCAGAUGGACCUUUGGUCUGAUCCAAUGGAUCCUUUGAUUUUCAAUGCUUUGGUCUCAAAGACUUAGAACAGUCUUAACUUCGGAGAAGAUGUGGCUGGGCUCAAGAUCGAGUGAGAGACCACUCUAAGAACAUGCAGAUUACCAGGCACGCAACGGAUUAGGACCUCAGUAUCUAUCAGAACGCCUGCUCCCAGCCAGACCUGUC